CUGAGAGCCCAAACUCGAGCUUCCAAAAGAUAUGCGUAAUGUAUGUGUGCCUCUGCUCUAUGCAUAUGUAAUUGUUUUUAUAUGUUUUCUGCUCCUCUCUGACACAAUGUGGAAGAUGUUGGUUUUAAAGGCUUGCAGGGGUAGCCAGUGGUGGAGUAAUCAGUGGUUUAGUUAGGUACAUAUAAUAGAAGUAAAAGGUGUUUAGUAGGUGCACCAAUUGUGUUCUACUUCCACCUAUUUCUUCCUUGAUUUUACCGUGCAUAAUCUUAGGGGUUGUCCUCUGGGGGUGGUAAUAUAUUCUUAUAAUAUGUUAUUCCAGUAUGCAAAUUGUUAGGGGAUUCGUAUUUUGUAGAUUCUGGGAUAAGGGGUCCUGGUUAUUCCAGUAUGCAAAUUGUCAGGGGUUCGUAUUUUGUAGAUUCUGGGAUCUUGCUGGGAAAGUUGAAUCAUUAUUCUUUAUAUGUGAUUGUUCAAAACCCAAUUAAAAAUCCAAGUACGGAUUGGGAAGAUAUCAGGACACAAAUUAUUUGCCUGGUGUAUAACCAAUAACUAGCUUGAGUGCUUUGGAGGAGGUUGGGGUUUAUCUUUUAUAAAAACUACUAUUAGUUGCUCCAGAAAGUUAUAGUUAGCACUAAGGAGAAAUUUCCGCAGUCAAAACUUGUCUGUGUUCAUGACAUCAUUUCUUUGCCGCAACAAUGCUUUUAUUUGUUUUGAAUUUUCAGAGUUAUGUUCGAUGAACCAACUUUCGUCAGUUAUGAUGUUAAUUACUUCGAUCCUUUUCAGUAUGCUGAAGGUUGAUACUGAGGCUGUCACUAUGAAGAAUAUUUGCCUCUCAGUUUAAAUUCCUCGGUAAAGAUUCGGUAAGAUACUUGAAUAGUGUAGAUGUUGAAUUACUUGUAUACAUGACGAUUAAAGAAUUAUGUGUUGAUACCUUCCAAUGUUGGUUGAACUACAUAUGCUUUGUUUACUGGUUUUUCUAGAUAAAAAUAAGGGAUGUUGUGUUGUUGGCAAGCUUGAUACUAUAGUGAAUGCUCACCUAAUGCUUAAUGUCUUGCUUUACUACAAAGGUCUUCCAUAGAUACAGUGCCUCAGUCACUUUGGUAAGUUCAAUGCAAAUUUGCUUACUGUUCUCUACUACUAUGAGUUGUGUUCGGAGCAAAAAUAUCUCAUGAGUACGACAGUUCUAAUGAUUUUUUAAUGUGCGACAUAGAUUAGAUGAGAAAACAUUUAAUCACAGAUAUGAUGCCUCCAUGUUAAAUACUGAUGAAAUGGGGGUUGUAUAUUUUCAGAUCAACAAGGCAAGAAUAACUUUAUUGUUUCUCUGUUUUUUCUUUUUUCUCAAGCAACAUAAAAAUUGAAUGUAUUCCUUACUACUAUUGAAUUGCAGGCACAAAAUAUAUAAAUUUGGUUUAGAUCUUACUGGUUCAAUUCCACAACGAAUGUAAAACUUAUAUUCGUAAUUUAUAUCCACUGCAGGAGGUAGGACCACAUGAACAAGCAGGUUGUUGUCCAAGCAUAGUUGCUACUGCAAGAGCCAGCAUCAGACAACAUCCGAUCUAUACAAAAUCCAUCCAUCUGUCUCGUCUCAUGCAUGCAUAACCAGGACGAUGGUAACUUGUCUACUAUUCUACUCACUGCAGUUUACGAUAAUUUGUCUACUACUCUACUUAAGCUUGAGGGUGAAGUGGACGAUAAGUUGUAUUAUUGACCAAGUAUAUCUUGUUCAUAAGCCUAAGAUUUGCAUACACCAUAGAAGCCGUAUAUAUCUUUGAGAUGAUCAGUCCAUGGCUGAUAUUGCUAGAGCAGGAGGGCGAGGCAGUGGCAAAGGUAGUCAGUGUGUUUAGAUCUUGAACCAGUUUGGGCUUGCCCAUCUGAGUGCCGGCGAUCUUCUUUGCAAAAAAGUUAAAUCCGAGCAAGGGUAACAAUCUGCUCUCAGUGUAUUUCAACCCUCAUUUAAGCAUAUCACAUUCCACUUUCAUUUUAUUUAUUUACUUUUAAGAGCUCUGCUUUAGGGUUCGGUGUCGUAUUUGUAUCAUCUUUAUAUAACCUUUUUUGUUUAGAAACAAAAGUUGCGUGUGCAAUGUUGAAGCUUGUUACGAUAUUAUUAUUGCAGACUUGCCUUAUCACCUAUUAAAUAUGACAUGUUUUAUUGAGGGCAUUUAUAUUAUAGAUGCUCAAAAAAUGUCCGUGCUUAAUGCUGCUCAAAACGUCGUAUCAUCAUCCCUGAAAUCGGCAUUCAGUGUCUGAAGUCCAGAUUACACAGAGGCCCAAAUUUACAUGCAACAGGGUUACCAUCUAUAGUACUAUCAAAGAAGAUCAGCUUGUGACAUCCCAAUUCAUAUGACAUUUUGCCUUAUAUACCAUAUAGGUUGAUUUUGAUUGGAGUAACACUAUGGCAGAGAAAAAUUUACUAAGUCUCCCUAGAUAAUUUCACACUUUCUCAUACACUAAAGAGCAUACUCUCAGCAUCUCUUGUACCAUGGUGGCCGAGAGCUGGAGGUCCUUGAGCCUAAAAUCUGCAUUCCAAAGCAAAAGCUUUCUUUUAUUGGUGAUAGUUAGUUAAUGGCAUGCAAAGAAAUUCUCGUUGAUUGUAUGCAUUAAGCUGAGUCGACUAGCAGCAGUGUAUAUGACUAAAUAAAAAGGCAAUUUUUUUGAAUGAAGAAAAAUAUUAAAGUGAUGACAAAUGUAAUGCCUCACAGGUAAAACAUAAACAGACCCUGGGUGAAUAAUAAUGAAGGUCUACAUUUAUUGGCAGGAUUAUAAUUUUCAAUACAUUAAUAUGUUGUCUUCUUAAUUGAGCUUGUACUAAAUGUUGUUAGUACGGGCUGGCAUUCAACUUUGCGUACUGUGUCAAAGAGUUUCAAGACUUGGACCUUCCCACAUCAUGCUAAAGCUGGUAACUAUUUGUGCUACUGAACAUAGCAUUCCCAGUUCCACUACAUCCUCUCCCCAAUGUCUUUUUUCAUCCAUCUAAGAAAGAAGAAGAAUCAUUUUUCAUCCAUGUAAGAAGAGUGAGUUAGUGGUAACAAAAAGACAACAAGGCCCCCUACUGUACAUGAGGAUCAUAAUGUUAUACUACCUCCAUUCCUUUAUAUAAGGUAUAUUAUUUUCGGCAUGGUUACCAAAGCACAUGAUUCCGUGUUUUCUAUGGGAGAUCUAAAAUAGUAGGUUAAAAGCAUACUGCAAAUUUAUUAGAAGCAAAAUAUCUAGAAGGAUUACAUAUAUGUAAUUUACAUGGGGUUAUCUAAUGUUAAAGAGCCAUACCUCAAAUUAUUUGUUUAUUUGUUCUAGCUCUAUGGAUAACAAGAGCAUUAGUUCUUUAAAAGUGUUGCAUUUGUGUGGGCUAGACACCACUCC
rnacentral:lncRNA from 1 species